rnacentral:rRNA from 1 species
ACUCAAAUGAAUUGACGGGGGCCCGCACAAGCGGUGGAGCAUGUGGUUUAAUUCGACGCAACGCGCAGAACCUUACCAGCCCUUGACAUGCCGUGCUAUGCGCAGAGAUGCGCAGUUCCAGCAAUGGACGCGGACACAGGUGCUGCAUGGCUGUCGUCAGCUCGUGUCGUGAGAUGUUGGGUUAAGUCCCGCAACGAGCGCAACCCUUGCCUUCAGUUGCCAUCAUUUAGUUGGGCACUCUGGAGGGACUGCCGGCGGUAAGCCGGAGGAAGGUGGGGAUGACGUCAAGUCCUCAUGGCCCUUACGGGCUGGGCUACACACGUGCUACAAUGGUGGCGACAGAGGGCGCAAGCGAGAGCGCAAGCUUUAGCAAAUCCUCAAAAGCCAUCUCAGUUCAGAUUGCGCUCUGCAACUCGGGCGCAUGAAGGUGGAAUCGCUAGUAAUCGCAGAACAGCAGGCUGCGGUGAAUACGUUCCCGGGCCUUGUACACACCGCCCGU